rnacentral:rRNA from 1 species
CCUACGGGUGGCUGCAGUGAGGAAUAUUGGUCAAUGGACGAGAGUCUGAACCAGCCAAGUAGCGUGAAGGAUGACUGCCCUAUGGGUUGUAAACUUCUUUUAUAUGGGAAUAAAACGUUCCACGUGUGGGAUUUUGUAUGUACCAUAUGAAUAAGGAUCGGCUAACUCCGUGCCAGCAGCCGCGGUAAUACGGAGGAUCCGAGCGUUAUCCGGAUUUAUUGGGUUUAAAGGGAGCGUAGGUGGAUUGUUAAGUCAGUUGUGAAAGUUUGCGGCUCAACAGUAAAAUUGCAGUUGAAACUGGCAGUCUUGAGUACAGUAGAGGUGGGCGGAAUUCGUGGUGUAGCGGUGAAAUGCUUAGAUAUCACGAAGAACUCCGAUUGCGAAGGCAGUUCACUGGACUGCAACUGACACUGAGGCUCGAAAGUGUGGGUAUCAAACAGGAUUAGAUACCCUUGUAGUC